UCCUAUUCCUGGACAAAUGUUUACUGGAGCAGUAAGUGGCUGCAGGAGCAACUCUAAUCACAUCACAACAAUAUCAUGUGGAUAUAUUGAAAAGGUAAUGUCUGCCCAUUUCUCUAACUGAAGAGAGGAGAGCAGAUGAGAAGAAAGGCAUGAGACAGAGACAAUAAUGAGAUUGUGAGAGGCACGACGAUAUAGUGGAAGUGAUGAACAGCCUAAGCAAGUGAAAGGCCAAAAUAAAGUACGGGAGCUGAAGAGGCAUAGUUAUUAGAAGAAGCAAUACAGAAGAUGCACAAGAACACAACUACUGCAUCAUAGAUGAACUGACUGUACAAACAUCACAGAAGGAAGACACUGGGGAAAGCUUAUCCAUGCAAGAUUCAAGACCAGGAAGAUUCUAUCCCAUGAGUUCCUAUCUCGAAAACCCAUAAUUCUUGAUGUGCUAGGUCAAGAACUAAUAUUGUUUGAUAUUCUUCAUCAUAUUGACAAAACAUGAGGGGGUGGCUCAUGUUUAGUGAGCUUGGGUGGCUGCUUUGUGAUGCAGAGUGAUACCAACAGUGUGGGCUUAAUUCCUGCGCCAGCGAAUGUUACCAUGAAGGGCUCUCUUUCUCAUUCUCUCCCCUCACUAUGGUGUGAUGACCCUCAGGUUAAACCACUGUCUCUCUCUAAAAUGAGGGAGCAGCCCUCUGCUCGUCUGGGGCUAUGGCAACCUUACCUUUACACAUGGAUGGUGUCAUGGUUGAUCACAGUUGUAAAGUUAUACCUUAGAACACAUUGUUUUAAUGAAACUGCUUGUCACAAAGCAAUAAGUAAUGAUUGUCAGUUCUUCAUUUGACAAAUAAUCCUGGAUCGUUGUUGAUAAUCUGAAUGUAGAAUUUUAUAUUUCCUAUGGAGAAUUUUCAUUUAUGGCUAUAUAGAGGAAACAGCGUAGAUUGACAGAUAAAGAUUGGUGAUGACACACAGGAAUCAUAACUGUAAGCUUUUUAUAUCUUGGAUUCUGGAUUUAUAAUUCUGCAGAUAUGUCUUAGCCACUCUAAACAGUGUUACCAAAUCGUUGCCUAUAUUUGUACAUUUGUCAUUUCACUAUCAAAUAUCAAUUUCCACAGUAAAGUUGUUUGUUUUUCAAAUACCACUUCCAUAAUGACCCUGUUGUUAUUGAGUGGCUUGAAAUCCUAUAUAAAUGAAAGUUUAAUAGUUGCAUUUAAUGUGAUUAGAAUAGGUAUUUAGUAAAGCAAUCACUUUUUUCUCCUUGGUGCCCUAGCAUGUGAUUUUAAUAAAGAAUUCACUGCCAUUAUCCUUGAAAAAUAAAGAAAAAUAACCUACUUAUUUAUA